GAUGAACGCUGGCGGCGUGCCUCAAACAUGCAAGUCGAGCGAGGCUAUGAGUUACCGCAAGGUAAGGCAUAGCCUAGCGGCGAACGGGUGAGUAACACGUGGGUAACCUACCUGGAAGACAGGGAUAACGAUUCGAAAGGGUCGCUAAUACCUGAUAAUAUCCAUCUGCCGGAUGGCGGAGGGAAGAAAGGGGAAACCCGCUUUCAGAUGGGCCCGCGUCCCAUCAGCUAGUUGGUAAGGUAAAGGCUUACCAAGGCGACGACGGGUAGCCGGUCUGAGAGGAUGUACGGCCACACUGGGACUGAGAUACGGGCCCAGACUCCUACGGGAGGCAGCAGUUGGGAAUCUUAGGCAAUGGACGAAAGUCUGACCUAGCGACGCCGCGUGAGGGAAGAAGGCCUCGGUUGUAACUACUGUCAUGGGGAAGAAGGAAGUAGACGGUACCCGAACGAGGAAGCCCUCGCUAACUACGUGCCAGCAGCCGCGGUAAACGACGAGAGUA
rnacentral:rRNA from 1 species